CCCGUCCUACGGGGGGCAGCAGUGGGGGAUAUUGCACAAUGGGGGAAACCCUGAUGCAGCGACGCCGCGUGAGUGAAGAAGUAUUUCGGUAUGUAAAGCUCUAUCGGCAGGGAAGAAAAAAAUGACAGUACCUGCCUAAGAAGCCCCGGCUAACUACGUGCCAGCAGCCGCGGUAAUACGUAGGGGGCAAGCGUUAUCCGGAUUUACUGGGUGUAAAGGGAGCGUAGGUGG
rnacentral:rRNA from 1 species